GGAAGACGAUGAAGAUGAGGAAGAUGAAGAAGAUGAAGAAGAUGAAGAUGACGAUCGCAGGAAACGUGAACACGACGGAGAUGAGGAAGACGAAGAAGAUGAGGAAGACGAAGAAGAUGAGGAAGAUGAAGAAGAUGAAGAAGAUGAAGAUGAAGAUCGCA